rnacentral:rRNA from 1 species
GUGGGGAAUAUUCCGCAAUGGACGAAAGUCUGACGGAGCAACGCCGCGUGAGUGAUGAAGGUUUUCGGACUGUAAAGCUCUGUUGUUUAGGACGAAAGUGCCUGUUGCAAAUAGUUACAGGUAUUGACGGUACUGAACGAGGAAGCCACGGCUAACUACGUGCCAGCAGCCGCGGUAAUACGUAGGUGGCAAGCGUUGUCCGGAAUUAUUGGGCGUAAAGAGCAUGUAGGCGGGAAUCUAAGUCUGUUGUGAAAAUGCGGGGCUCAACCCCGUAUUGCGAUGGAAACUGGGUUUCUUGAGUGCAGGAGAGGAAAGGGGAAUUCCCAGUGUAGCGGUGAAAUGCGUAGAUAUUGGGAGGAACACCAGUGGCGAAGGCGCUUUCUGGACUGUGUCUGACGCUGAGAUGCGAAAGCCAGGGUAGCGAACGGGAUUAGAAACCCGGGUAGUCC